ensembl:miRNA
UUCAAGUAAUCCAGGAUAGGCUGGUUAACACUGCACGGCCUAUUCUUGAUUACUUGUUUC